rnacentral:tRNA from 1 species
GCUUUUUAUAGUUUAAAAAAAACAUUAAUUUUGUAAAUUAAAAAUAUUUCCCAAAAAUUAUAAGCU